AAUUCUCAACCAUAAUCCUCUGAGUACUGUUGAAGAUUUACAUCUUUUUAAAUUGUCAACAUUAAAAUAUCUAGACAUGGGAGCAACACAAGUGUCACAACAAUUGAGAACACCAUCCUGAUGACUCUUGAAUUGGAAAAACUAUUUAUUCUCAUAGAGAAGACCCAGAUGGGUCCCCAGGAAAGGCUUUUUCCUGUUAAGGAAGCCGCUGUGGCCUAGGGAUUAUAUAUAAACCGCCGAGUACUACCCGCCAGAAAAACAUGGCCAAAAAGCUGCAUGACAAGAAGUCUUCAGAUGAGGAUGAGAGGUACAAGAAUAGAGGGGCGCUCCGUGAAUCAGCCCGAACAGGGAGGACUAUGUGUGCAUAGACAGGACUGAUGAGGGAGAGGAAAGCGAGGUGCCCGAGGGGAACACAGAGUGACCCCGUCCUGCCUCAGGCCACCUGCAAAUCUUAUUUUGUCACCUUUCAGCACUGCGGUUGAAGAGGCAUCCCUAAAGAAUCCAGAAGGAAGAUUCAUGAAGAUAUUAAAAGCUCGGAAGCAGAACACAAGCACUGAGCUGACGAUUGAGCCAGAGAAGGCAUCCUCAGACAUAACUGGCAUGAAUGGGGCAAAUGUGAAUGAGCAGCUAGACCUAAAUGAUAAAAGUGAAAUUAUACAUGCACUAAAUUACCUAUUAUCUUAUCUAUCCAAGGGUAACCUAGAAAAUAUACAACAACAUUAUUACCAUUCAUUAAACUGCUUUUUUCAAAUGUACAGGAUGAAGAUAACACCCCUGGAUUACUUGAAGAAAAAUAUACAAAUAGCCCCUCUCUCAUACCUGAAUCCAACAAUUCACCCUACACAAAUAAAUCGAGGAAGCUCUAUUUUCUCGAAAACUUGUUAGAUACGGAAAUUGAAGAAAAAUCGAUGAGGUUAAGAAGAAAGAAAAAACUACAAUGCUUAUGCAUUCUAGUCUUUUAGGUCCCAAACUUAAACACCAAAUAUUGUUAAAGAAAUUAGAAACUGUCCAACCACAGGAGAACAGCCUGGCAAAGAUUGAGAGUAGGGAAAAGGGUGCAGAGAGUGUACAGAGUCCUCCAGUGGUGAAGAGGCAUAAAGAACAGGUACUUCAAACAAGUGAGGGAGGGAUCAGAGAAUCAUUGAAGGAUCAGAGCAUCGGGAAGGAUCAGAGAUUCAUUGAGGGGUCCGAGCAUCACUGAGAGUGCAGGAAAAAGGCUACAGAGAGUGAACAGAUUCCUCAAGUGGCCAAGAGGCAAAAAGAAAAGACACUUCAAAGAAGUGAGUGAUCUGGCCGGCCCGUGGGUCACUUGCGAUGGCGUGGUGCUGACAACACCAAGUCAAGGGUUAAGAUCCCCUUACCGGUCAUCUUUAUAUAGGGGGGAAAAAAAAUUAGGCAGGCAAAGAAACAACACUGGAUCCGAAACUGGAAUUCUGUGAGGCGCCUCCAUAGCACAGGGCCCAGGGGGAGAAGGGACAAGGACAGGGUUGAAGGGGAGGUCGGUCACCAUAUCCUGUUUUGAGUCUUGGGGACUGAAAGAGGGUCCACUUUGGGGCAGUCACAUUCCUUCGUGUCUUGCUAAGUUCCUGCCCAACCCCAACGUGCACAAACGUGUCCCAGGGCUGCAAUGUGAAUGCGUGUGCUGCCACCUAUCGUCGUGCCGGGACAAUGCAGCUGCCUUCGAGCCUCCUGUACCACCCCAGGGAGAUCCGGGUUUCCAGACUCAAGCUCCCUCUCUUAGCAGCAUCCAGCUCUGGGGAGGAGGUCCCGUGGAGCCAAAUAGGGGUUUAAUGUAAGAGUAUGUGUCAGGGGUUUUAAUCCGCACCGCAAGAUGCCUGGCCAGACACCAAAAGCUGCUUCAAACCUACUGAACCCAAAUCUCCACCAUCCCCACCACACCUGAUUCGCCGGCACUUUGAGCCACUGGUGGGGGGUAUUCCUGCCUUCCCUGAGUGGAUCAUCACUGUAGGAGACAAUAAAUCAAUCUCUAAGUUAUAAGUAAACAAUGCAAGAGAAGUCGCAAGGUGCUGCUGCUGAAUGAGGGAUGGAUGAUCUGUUCUAGUUCUGCGGCAGGAAAGCUUGACAGGGAUGGGACAGCAGGGAAGGGCUGCUGGAAGGGGUGGAACUGGAGGCAGCCCUUGGAGAAUGGCUCCAACGUGGAUCAGCAGGGAAAGGAGAACACACAUAGAGCAGGGGGAAUGAGGAAGAGGGUAAGACAUUUCCAGAAAGGAUAGGCUAAGUUAAUUCACAUCAGCCUUCCCACUGAAAACAAGUGCAAAUGCUGGAUAAAGGAUUUUUU